rnacentral:rRNA from 1 species
UACGAAGGGGGCUAGCGUUACUCGGAAUUACUGGGCGUAAAGGGCGCGUAGGCGGCGUUCCAAGUUAGGCGUGAAAGUCCUGGGCUCAACCUGGGAACUGCGCUUAAGACUGGAGUGCUUGAGGAUGGAAGAGGCUCGUGGAAUUCCCAGUGUAGAGGUGAAAUUCGUAGAUAUUGGGAAGAACACCGGUGGCGAAGGCGGCGAGCUGGUCCAUUACUGACGCUGAGGCGCGAUAGCGUGGGGAGCAAACAGG